AACCGGGGAGGAGACAACAGGGAUUGCCUCAGUAACGGCGAGUGAAGCGGCAACAGCUCAAAUUUGAAAUCUGACUCCUCUGGGGUUCGAGUUGUAAUUUGUAGAGGAUGCUUCGGCUUACGCCCCGGUCUAAGUUCCUUGGAACAGGACGUCACAGAGGGUGAGAAUCCCGUUUGUGGCCGGCGGCCUCCGCCGUGUGAAGCUCCUUCGACGAGUCGAGUUGUUUGGGAAUGCAGCUCUAAAUGGGAGGUAAAUUUCUCCUAAAGCUAAAUAUCAGCCAGAGACCGAUAGCGCACAAGUAGAGUGAUCGAAAGAUGAAAAGCACUUUGGAAAGAGAGUUAAAAAGUACGUGAAAUUGUUGAAAGGGAAGCGCUUGCGACCAGACUUGCCCGCGGAUGCUCCGCCGGUCCUUCGGCCGGUUUACUCUUCCGCGGUCAGGCCAGCAUCAGUUUGGGCGGCCGGAUAAAGGCCUUGGGAAUGUAGCUCUCUUCGGGGAGUGUUAUAGCCCUCGGUGCAAUGCGGCCCGUCCGGACUGAGGUUCGCGCUCCGGCUAGGAUGCUGGCGUAAUGGUCGUAAGCGGCCCGUCUUGAAACACGGACCAAGGAGUCUAACAUCUAUGCGAGUGUUUGGGUGUCAAACCCGUGCGCGUAAUGAAAGUGAACGGAGGUGGGAGCCUUCGGGUGCACCAUCGACCGAUCCUGAUGUCUUCGGAUGGAUUUGAGUAAGAGCAUAGCUGUUGGGACCCGAAAGAUGGUGAACUAUGCCUGAAUAGGGCGAAGUCAGGGGAAACCCUGAUGGAGGCUCGCAGCGGUUCUGACGUGCAAAUCGAUCGUCAAAUUUGGGUAUAGGGGCGAAAGACUAAUCGAACCAUUAACUUUGUUGCUUGCAGGAGCACUACUAGGUGGUUAAGAGGCGGCUGAAAGACGCCGGCCUAGUCCCUCCACCGGGGCGACACCGUCAAAUUGCGGGGACUUCCUUAGAGCCUGAA
rnacentral:rRNA from 1 species